UAUGGGGGGGGCAAGCGUUGUUCGGAAUUACUGGGCGUAAAGGGCUCGUAGGCGGCCAACUAAGUCAUACGUGAAAUCCCUCGGCUUAACCGGGGAACUGCGUCUGAUACUGGAUGGCUUGAGAUUGGGAGAGGGAUGCGGAAUUCCAGGUGUAGCGGUGAAAUGCGUAGAUAUCUGGAGGAACACCGGUGGCGAAGGCGGCAUCCUGGACCAACACUGACGCUGAGGAGCGAAAGCCAGGGGAGCAAACGGG
rnacentral:rRNA from 1 species